AACCCCUGGCAAUGGGCAAGGAGACACCUUGCUGCUGGUGUCGUUCUUAUAUCGGUUGGGGCAGAGCAGAUGGCAGUCCUUUGUUCAUCCUAGCCUGAUGUCUGGCUUGAUGGCCAAAGCUGUCUUAUGCCUAGGACUCAUAA